CAUGCACUGGUGGGGUCCCUCAGCCUGGCCUGUGCCCUCUCACAAUCCAGAACCUAUUGGGGGAUGUUGGACUAUUGGUUUCAGCCCGAUCCCUGCAGGCCUGGCCGAGGGACCCCACCAGUGCAUG
rnacentral:pre_miRNA from 1 species